rnacentral:tRNA from 1 species
GGGCGCGUAGCUCAGCGGUAGAGCACUUGGUCGACAUCCAAGGGGUCACAGGUUCGAUCCCUGUCGCGCCCACCA